rnacentral:rRNA from 1 species
UACGUAGGGUGCAAGCGUUAAUCGGAAUUACUGGGCGUAAAGCGUGCGCAGGCGGUUUUGUAAGUCUGUCGUGAAAUCCCCGGGCUCAACCUGGGAAUUGCGAUGGAGACUGCAAGGCUGGAGUCUGGCAGAGGGGGGUAGAAUUCCACGUGUAGCAGUGAAAUGCGUAGAGAUGUGGAGGAACACCGAUGGCGAAGGCAGCCCCCCUGGGUCAAGACUGACGCUCAUGCACGAAAGCGUGGGGAGCAAACAGG